UACGUAGGUGGCAAGCGUUGUCCGGAUUUACUGGGCGUAAAGGAUGCGUAGGCGGACAUUUAAGUCAGAUGUGAAAUACCCGAGCUUAACUGGGUGCUGCAUUUGAAACUGGGUGUCUAGAGUGCAGGAGAGGUAAGUGGAAUUCCUAGUGUAGCGGUGAAAUGCGUAGAGAUUAGGAAGAACACCAGUGGCGAAGGCGACUUACUGGACUGUAACUGACGCUGAGGCAUGAAAGCGUGGGGAGCAAACAGG
rnacentral:rRNA from 1 species